AUUGGUGUACCAUGUACCCGUUUGAGUGGUCCACUUCUCAGUCCAACUCUGAUCUUGGUGUGCAGGGCAGCAGUAAAGAGAUCUGGAGUCUGGGAAGUUCAAGAGCAUGGCACCAACAUCUGGCAAGGGCUUUCAUUCUGCAUCAUCUCAUGGAGGAAAAUAAAAAGAUUUCAGGUAAAUCCAGAUUUGGAGCUUAAAUGACUCAAAUGCUUUGCCUACAUUGAUCCUACAUUCAGGCUGCUUACAUAUCUCUUGGCUUCUCUGAGAACCAGAUUGUCACCACUUAAAGGUCUGUUAGAAUUUUCACAAAACCUUCUCAACUGAUUUCUUCUUCAUGGGAAAGUAAAAGCAAUGAAAAUGCCUUCAAGUUAACUAGGUCUUAUUAGGUACAAAUUGUUGCAAGGAAAGUGAGGUGGGAUGGAAGUAGAAGGUUGUUCUGAAAUCAUCUUACAAAUGUCAGCAUUCAAGACCUGAGUAAUCCAAGAUAGCAAGAGCAGAUCAAUGAUCUCUAUACAGAAUGCUCUACAAAGGACUUGGAAGGAACGGUAAACCCACAGGGCUUUCAACCCUCUUCCUAUGAACAAUGGGGCUCAUAGGGUUUGCAAGAUACAGGAAGAAGCUCCUGGAGAUGCCAGACAAAGAAGGAAAGGUGAUCCAUCAACCUCCACCUGCUUUACAAACAGACAGCCCC
rnacentral:lncRNA from 10 species